UGGGGAAUUUUGCACAAUGGGGGAAACCCUGAUGCAGCGACGCCGCGUGAUUUAGAAGGCCUUCGGGUUGUAAAAAUCUUUUGUAUGGGAAGAAAAUGACAGUACCAUACAAAUAAGUACCGGCUAAUUACGUGCCAGCAGCCGCGGUAAUACGUAAGGUCCGAGCGUUUUCCGGAAUCAUUGGGCGUAAAGGGUACGUAGGCGGAUAAGCAAGUUAGAAGUGAAAUCCUAUAGCUCAACUAUAGUAAGCUUUUAAAACUGCUCAUCUUGAGGUAUGGAAGGGAAAGUGGAAUUCCUAGUGUAGCGGUGAAAUGCGCAGAUAUUAGGAGGAAUACCGGUGGCGAAGGCGACUUUCUGGACAUAUACUGACGCUGAGGUACGAAAGCGUGGGUAGCAAACAGG
rnacentral:rRNA from 1 species